rnacentral:rRNA from 1 species
GGAUUAGAUACCCUAUUAUAUUAUAACCUAGUUUAAAUUAUUAAGGUUAAUAAAAAAAUUAAAAAUUUUGGCGGUUAAUUAUAGAAUUAGAGGAGCUUGUUUUAAUAAGAAUUUACUCUUUAAAUUUUAAUAUUAAAUUUGGUUUAUUCAUUUCUGUUUUAAAGGUUUUUAAAAUAAAUUUUAUUUAAAAUUUCAGGUCAAGAUGUAAUAUUUUAGUAUAAGGAAAUUAGCUACAAUUAUUUAAUUAUUGAAUAUAAAUUUAAAAAAUUUUUUUAAAAUUGAAUUUAGUUGUAAUAAAGAUUUAGAAUAUUAUUAUGAUAAAUAUUAAUUAAUGUACAUAUCGCCCGUCACUCA